CCCGUAGCAUUUUCUUUUCUGUAAAUAGAUGUGUGUGAUGUAGUUUAAGGGGGGAAUAGGCAAAAAUGUAGCAUAAUUAUUUUGACAGAACCAAAAGUAUUCCUGAGAGCAAUGAGUUUUCAUUCUGUUUUGUAUUAACUCUUUCCUCCAGUCGUAGCUUUGCUUCCUUCCACCUUCGCUCUCGUUCUUUGUUUUCAUACGCUUCUUCUUUAUUCUUCUUUUCAGAAGCGAAUUGUUCGUAUUUCAAAUUCUUCACCACUGGGGAGAAUGCUCACAUCUUCCAGAGAUCUACUAAAAAAGAACUGAACAUCACGGCAGCUGUUAUAUCCCUCCUCAGCAUCACCUUGAUGGCCAUGGGUUCUCUCUGCAUCACAAUGGCACUCAGCAAAGGCAUUGAAUUCUUCCUGAAGCCAGCAUCCUGCUUCUUCAUUAUAUCAGGUAAAGGAGCCCUGAGAGACACCUCAUUCCUUGCAGGGAGGGGGAACAAACAUCUCU
rnacentral:lncRNA from 11 species